ACCAACCCUAAAGAAAUAAAUAGGAAGUCAAAGAUUUAUAUAUAUUCACUACAGUUAUCUAUACAGAGGAAACAAUCUGAAUAUUCAACAGUAAAGGAGUGGUUAAAUGAGCCAUGGUGCAUCAAUCAUAUGGAAUAAUAUGUGAUAACUAAAAGUACUUAAUGCCACAGAAAAAUAUUAAUAGUAAUUUAAUGUACAGUUAAAUUUUUUAGGUUAUAAGACUAUUUCUCAUUUAUUUGAAAAUGCACUUUUUUUUUUUUAAAGAUUUUAUUUAUUUGACAGAGAGACAGCGAGAGCAGGAACACAAGCAGGGGGAGUGGGAGAGGGAGAAGCAGGCUUCCCACUGAGCAGGAAGCCUGAUGUGGGACUCGAUCCCAGGACCCUGGGAUCAUGACCUGAGCCGAAGGCAGACGCUUAAGGACUGAGCCACCCAGGCACCCUGAAAAUGCACUUAUUUAUAUGCAUAGAAAAAGGAUGGGGAAAAAUAUAUCAAAGUGUGUUAUAUGUGGUUAUAGUAAUUUUACUUUUUCUUUUUUAAAAUGAGCACAUAUUGGGCGCCUGGGUGGCUCAGUCGUGAAGCAUCUGCCUUCAGCCCAGGUCAUGAUCCCAGGGUUCUGGGAUCAAGCCCCACAUCGGGCUCCCCGCUUGGCUGAGAGCCUGCUUCUCCCUCUCCCUCUGCCUGCCGCUCCCCCUGCUUGUGCUUGCUAUCUCUCUGUCAAAUAAAUAAAUAAAACCUUUUAAAAAAAAUAAAAUAAAAAUUUAAAAAAUGAGCACAAAUUAUUUUAACAAAAAAAUCACUAAAAUUAAAAGAUCUCCUCCCAAAUAUGUAAAUCAAAUGACAUAUGUUUACAUUCUUACAACUCUAGGAUAUUUAAUAAAGUAACACAUCAUAUUAGUUACUCUUUAUAAGUACUUUUUCAUUUUGUAUACUUAUAACAAUAUCUACCAAUGAGUAAUCUCUGCUUUCUAAAAUUAAAUGAGAUAAGGUAUAGGCAAGGAGACAGUAUUCUGUGAAUGGUAUAAUCUGAGAGGUAACCUUGGUGGAAAAGCUGAUUUAAGAAAAAUUUAGCAUAGUCAAAAUCCAUCUGUAAAGCUAUAAUGGCUGGAUCUAUUUUAUAAGUUUUCUAACAGUAUGUUUAAAAUUUUUUAUUUUAAAUUGUGGCAAAAAACACAUAGCAUAAAAUUUACCAUCUUAACCAUUUUUAAAUGUACUAAGUAUAUUCACAUUGUGUAUAGUAGUGUUUUUAUAAAAAUAAUAAAUGUUCAUAAAAAUAAUACAGGUUUACUUAUAAAUAGUUUAAACAAUAUAGAAAGUUACAGGGAUGUUUUAAAAUCUCGGAUUCCAGAUUUUACCAUCAAUUUUAAAUGAACAUCAUGGUAGGCAUUUCUAUGCAUUUAAACAAAUAAGAUAAUCUUAUUUAAGAUCAGAAAAUGUACAUUACAUUUGAGUUAAAAGUAUUAAGUUUAAAAUUAUUUUAAUUUGGUAGUGGUAGGAUAAACUGAAGGAAUUGCUGAACUUUCAGAAAAAUGUUUCUUUACUACAAAAGAUCUUAUUUCCUAAAAUACCUGAAGUUUAAAAAAGAGUUUGGAGCCUUUUUAAAUCUAUGUUUCAAAUUUAGAAAUACUAGCAGACUCUGCUAUGAAAAAUGUAUUUUUACAUCAUUAUUUUUACAAAGUCAAGGUUUUAAUGUUUAUUUGUUUUAUAAUCCUAAUUUCUUUGAUCACUUGGUCUUGGUCUGUAUCUUAAUCCAGUGCUCACAACAUAGCUUGAUUCUCAAUAUCCUAGUUAUUAAUUUUGAUUGAUCAGUUAUCUGUUCUUCACUGUUUUGUUUGUGGUUUUGGUUUUGGUUUUUGUUUUCUCCUCUACAUGUAUCCAUGGAUGCUGUGUUUGCCUUUUUCAUCAAUUCUCAAAUGACACUUAUUUAGAUGUAAUAGUUUGGGGUCAUGCUGGCUUUGCCUCAAAACCGUACAGACGUUUUUCCUUUGUUUUCUGGCUUUGAAUAUUGCUUAGAGGAAGUCUACGGCCAGCAUGAUUUCCUCCCUCUUGAUAAGUUAUUUAGUUUUCUGCCUGGAGUUCUGAGAAGUUUUUCCUUCAUUCUCUAUGGUUAGUUGCUUAACCAGGAUAUGCCUCAAUACUAAAUAUUAUGUGUCCAUUAUUUUUCUGCAGGUUCAGGUCUUUCGUUACUUGGUGGAAAUUCUCAUCUGUUACAUCUUUCUGUGCUUUUUCUGAUUCAUUUGUUGUAUUAUGUACUCAGGGAGACGAAUCAGGUUUAUUAUGUUAUCUUUGUCUCACUUACAUGAUUUUUGUAUUGAUUCUGCAGUUACUUUGGUCUACUUCUCUCCUACAUUCACCACAAUUUAUUAAAUUCAUUUCUCAGCUGGAAUUUAUUGAGUGCCAGCACCAGUGGUAAAUAAGAUCAUAUUCCUGCCUUGAUGAAGCUUUUAGUUAGGGAUAGGGGAGGGAGAAAUAAAUAAACUUGUAACAGUGUCAGGUAGGAAUAAGAAGAACAACCAGGUAAGAAACUAGAAGGAUGGGGGAAGGAAUUGUGCAUUUUAGAUGGAAUGUGAGAGCAGGCCUCUCUCUGUAAAAUGACACCUGAGAAGAGAUCUGAAUUAAGUGAGGGGGUAAGCCCAGGGAAAGACCUGGGCAAUCCAGAUGCAGAAAAGAGCAAAUACAAAGGUCCUGUAGUGGGAAAGUGGUGUGUGUUCAAGACAGAAUUAUUAAAGCCAAAUGAGUAACCAGAAAGUGGUGAGAGAUGAGACUAGAGAAGUGGACAGGCCAGAUCACAAAAGGGGUUGUGAGGAGGCUGAAUUUUGUUCUAAAUGUGAUGAGAAGGAGGGAGAUGAUGUAUGCUUCAGAGGAGUAAUUCAGGUUGCUGCUAAGUAUUUCAAUAACAAUAACUGAGUAUAAAGAAUCAGUCAGAUAGGUGCUGUAGAACUGAAAAUGCAAAAAAGGAGCACUAAAAUAAGAGAGUAACUUCAGGAAGCAGCCACUACCCCUGAUACUAGAUAAACACAAGGAAGACCUGAAGUUUUUAGAACCCAGAAGCUAGAAGGGGAGACGCUGGAACCCUGGCCUCAGAAGACAGGUUGCUGCCCAUUUGCUGCUGAUACCUCUGACAGGGUAUGUUCAGUAUGUUGGGGCUGGUUCUAGGGAAUGGAAAAUAGUUGAAAUUUGGAGCUGAGUGCCACUGUGACAGUGAAGGUCCAUAACUGGGGCAACCCUGACGUGUGCAGAAAGCCAACAAGAAGGAGCAGGUUCUUUUCCCCUCUCUUCUUGACUUUCAGUCUUUCUCUAACACACCUUAUUAAGAGAAUGCAGCAAGGAUUCAGCUGGCAAAAUAGAAACGUAGUUUGCAGAGUCCCAUCCUAGCAUCACAAAAUGUAUGAGUGUGGAAGGAUUUCUUAUUAAGAGAUAACAGGGGCACCUGAGUGGCUCAGUUGGUUAAGCGACUGCCUUCGGCUCAGGUCAUGAUCCUGGAGUCCCGGGAUCGAGUCCCGCAUCGGGCUCACUGCUCAGCAGGGAGUCUGCUUCUCCCUCUGAUCCUCCUCCCUCUCAUGCUCUCUGUCUCUCACUCUCUCUCUCUCUCAAAUAAGUAAAUAAAAUCUUUAAAAAAAAAAGAGAUAACAGCUUAGUAACCAGCACAGAAAGGAAUUAAGGAUGACUUCUAGAUUUCUGUCUUGAGCAAUGGGAUGAAAGUAAUGUCAUUUAUUGACCUAGGGGAAGACCUGGAGAAAAGUAAAUUGAGGGGGAGAAGAAAAUUACAAGAUUGGUUUUGAAUGUGUUAACUUUGAAGUCCUUGCUAGACAUCUGAGUGCGGUUCCUAGGUAGGCAGUUGAGCAUGAGUUCAGAGUUCAACAGAGAUAUGAGGGAUAGAAUACAAAUUUUAGGAGUCCCAAGAACAUCUGCAACAUUAAAAAAGGAAAAAAAAAAAAACAACUUGAUGAGAUGACCCAAGGGAAAACAAAUGUUGAUGGAGAAGGAAAAAAGGGGUGAGGAAUAUGCCUGGGGUCCCAAACAUUUGAGAAGAGAAAAAUGAUGUGGCAAGAAGUUAAUCAGUGAUUUCAACAAGCCCAGUUUAGGUGGGACUGUGGAAACGGUAAUCCUAAAUGGAAUAGACUGAAGGGAAAAUGUAAGGCGAGGAAGUGGAAACUGCAAGCACAGUCUUUAAAAAGUUUUAUUAUAAAGGGGAGUAGAAAAAUGAGCUCACUCAGUAAGUAGAGGGGGAAGGGAGGUGAUGAUAUAUUUAGAAUGGGAAAUAUUACAGUGUAUUUACAGGUUAGAAUAAUCCAGUAAAGAGAGAGAAAAUGAGAAUGAUGCAGGAAAUGGAGGAAAUAAUCACAGGAACACAAUCCUUGAGUUUACAAGAAAACAUAGAAUGGGGGCACAGGUAAGGGGCAUGCCUUAUUUAAAAGAAGGGAUAGCUGAUCCUUUAUAAAGGAAGUAUAAGUAUAGAUGAAGAGAGGUUGGUAGAUAGGGUGUAAGAAAGAUGAGUUUUUCUUGUGACAGCUUCUAUUUAUCAAUAAAACAAGAGUUUGGGGUGACGAGUGGGGAGAUGUGAGAGACUUAGGAGAAGAGACAAGGUGUAAUCAUCUAGGAGAAUAGAAGAAUGGAUUGACUAGGGGAGUGUGCUGGGAUUGCCAGUCUUCCCUUUUGUUGAGAAUUUGAUUUCCAGCCAUCUUGAUAUUCCAAAGUAUUGGUUUUGAAAUAAUAGUAUUAUUUUGGUCUUCAUUGAUUAGGUUGUAGACAUUCUUUGUUUUUAAAGGAAUUUUUACUGUUGUUUGUUUUUCCUGUAUUGUAAGGUAUUUGGAGUGGAAGACUUUGUGGUCUGCCUUUACUCCCCCAUCUUUAUCUGGAAGUCUAGAAUAAUGUUUUUAAAUAGAUUGCAAUUCAUAUUUUUUCAGCUCACCCUAUACAUGGGAAUUUAAGAGUAAGAUGUCACAGUACUAUUAUAUAUUAUUAUAAUAGCCACCAUUUACUGAAGGCCUGUGUGCAAUGCAUGCUAAGAGACCUUACAUACAUGAUCUCUAACACUUAUCACAAGCCUACAAGGUAAGUGCUGUUGACAGUUAUUUCCACAAGAAACCUUUUUUACUAGUUAUGUCAGAUCACAGAAUCUUACCUGAAGCUCACAGCUGACCAAAAUAAACAAGCACAAAUUUUUCUGUCUUGUGUGUUUUUAAAAAAUUAGCACAUAAGAGACUCUUCUUUUUGAAAUACAAAAUAAUAGUUUGCAAAAGUGCACCACACAAACUAAGAGCAAUUUUAGGGACAGCUUUUUGACACUGUACUAUAUCAUUAAACCCUUGGUGGGAGAGGUGCUACUUAACUGACAGAUUCAAGGAACUUGGUAAAUUGAGGUGCCCUUACUCUAACCAUCUUCAUCAUCCACGAACAUAUUGAGAGCCUGCAAUAUUAAAAUCAUUACUAAAUUAUAUUAAAUCUUUAUAAUUUUACAACUUACAGGAGAUGUAUCAGCAUUUGUUUUGGAAACUCCAUAAUUUGAAUUUAAAUAAUAUAAACUUUCCUGUUGGUCAACAAUAUUUAUAUUCAUGUGAUGACACUGAAAACAUACCAUUGAAACAUAAACAUAUAUCUAUGACAAGUAAUGGAUUUUUUUCUGAUUAUAAAAUUAGUACAUGUAAGUGAAGAAAAUUCUGAAGAUAUGUUUAAAUAAGUAAAGAAAACAUCUUUUUUAAAGGACAGCAGGAAAAAAAUAACGAAUAAUUCUUUUAUUUACAGGCAACUGACUUGAGUUUGACAUAUUUCCAUGUAGUUUUUAAGCUUAUGAAGUUUAAACUACUUGAGUACACUGCCUUUUUUCAUAACAAUGUAUCAGAAAUGUUUCCUCAAGUUAUUUAAAAGUCCUCAAAAACAUUUUCAAUGGCUGCAUAAUGUUCCUUGAGUAUUUCCUUAAGUGCUCAUUUAAGCUAUUUUCCUUAGUUUCUUAUAAGUAGUAUUGCUAUGAACUUUUUUAUGCUUAAAUCUGUUUUAGCAUUUCAGAUUAUUUCCUAAGUUAGGACAAAUUCCUAGAAAUCAGCUUAAAAGGCCAAUAUUUUUCAGGUUCUUCAUCUGGUAAAAAUUUUGCUGUAAAAAAAUCUUUUCAUUUUCUACAUACUCAUACUGAAAAUAAAGCUAAGGAGAAAAAUUUAUGUGGACUACCUUUUAAAAUUGAGACUAACAUUUAAGUUUAGGUUCAGUGUUUUGGUUUUGGUUUUAAUAUCUUACCUUUAGGGAGAAAUCCACUCUUCAAAAUAUUUACUUGUUUUUGUCAGGUUCAAAACUUACACUUAAUUUGAGGAUGUAAGUUUAAAUAUAUACUUAUUUCAGCCUAAGGUAUCAUCAUCUCUUUUUUCCUAUUUUCAGAUAUGCUCACCCAACAGUGUUGCCUCCUGACUCAUCAUCAGUUUAAUCUCACAUGUACACCACUAAUUCAUGGUACAGAUGUACACAUUCAUCUGUGGAUGGAAACCUAAAUAAAAUUGCAGGCCAAGGUCAUUUCCAAACUAAGCAAACUUGGCACAAGAGUUUUAAGAGUGCCUAAAUUAAUACUACAAAACAGUUCUAUCAUUCUAGACUGAAAUACAGAGCAUAUGAACAAAGCAGUUUCACCUAAUUCUAAAAUUAAUUUAGACUGAUGAUGGAAUUGCAAAACAUGAGAAAAUAUCCAGAAGAAAUCUAGUCUAAGUAAAUAAAGGAUUACUGUUUUUAGUAGCUAUCAUUUAUUCAUUCACUCAUCAAAUACUUACUGAUUGGUGUGUCAAACACUUGCUAGGUGCUGGAGUCAACCAAAAAAAGAUAUAGGCCUGUCCUGCUGGAAGAUAUAUUCUAGUGGAAAAGACAGACAAAAGCAAAUGAAUAAAUGAAUAGUCCUAAGCUGUAAUCUAGGCCCGUCCACUACCAGUAUUACUUAAGUGAGACAAAGAAAUGAUUUGGGUUCUACACCAAGAGUUUUUAAAGUUGUAUUAUUGAAUAAGAAAAAAGUUAAAGAUUUAGAAUUAUUAGGAAAUAUAGAUAUGUCCACAUAUAGAUACCUCUACAGAUCUUUUAUGAUUAGUCAUUAUCAUCCCCUUAUGCCCUGUACUCCCCACCCCCCUCCUGCCAAAAGAAAGGAUAGAUUAGGAUAUCUAGACUUUGGCUUUCCCUUCAUUACUCUCUGGACUCUGGCCUGACCCAAUCUCUGCUGUGGCAUGUUAUAGUAGAAAAUAAAACAUUCCAAAUUCGGGGAGUAAGAAAACCUCAGUUUUAGCAAGUGACAGUGCUAAAGGGAUUGAAAUCUUAGAUGAGACACUUCAUUUCCCAGAGUAUCAGUUUCCUUUGCAAAAUGAUGGAUUUUGACUAAAUGAUCUCUAAAAAUCACUUUAGGUUCUAAAAUUCACUAUCUAUGCAUCUUUCUGUUAAACAUCUCUUCCAUUAUGCUAUUUAUAUUGGGGAUGAAGAGGAAUAAGAUCGAUUCCUGUUUAAUAGGGAUAAAGGAUUUAUAGUUUUUAAUGACCAUUCUUUCAUGUUAUUGAAUAUUUUGUAAAACAUGUUUUUAACAUCUGCACAGCAUUCCAACAUAUGGAUAUACCAAAAUGUAUCUAUCCAUGCCUUCAUUCUAAAGAUUUUUUUCCCAAUUUCUGCAGUAUUGUAAAGGAUAUUUUUUAAGAUUUUAUUUAUUUAUUUGACAGAGAGAGAGAGAACACAAGCAGGGGAGCAGGAAAGGGAGAAGCAGGCCCCCUGCUGAGUAGGGAGCCUGAUGCACGACUCAAUCCCAGGACCCUGAGAUCAUGACCUGAGCUGAAGGCAGACGUUUAACUGACUGAGCCACCCAGGCGCCCCAAGAAUAUUUUAGAAUCUCUAUUUGUCUACUUGUACUCAAAAUACUACUACAGGCUUUCUUUUUUGUUUUAUUCCUUUUGCUUGGGAAAAAAAAUCACUAUGAUUCUUUCUUACCUACUCCAGCCUCUACAUGGCUUUCUAUUAAUAUAAAAACUCCACUUUGGACAAUGUGAUAGAGGCUGCCCUUUCUCCUCUCUAAAACAGUAUCAUCCCAGAAUAAGGUCCAUAUUUCUGCAGCUUCCUGCUGUAAAAGAAUUUGAAGUAAAGCCAAUUCCAUGCCUGCACCAAAUCUGGAUAAUGUAUAUUUUAGCUUUAACCAAAGUUGAAAUCCAUGAGAUUAAAACCCCAACAGCAGACAAAUAGCUAUACCAAAAAUGUGAUUUAGUGUGUUAAUUACAACAAAGAUAACUAUGACUUUGGUGAUUUUGCCAUGAUCCUGAACUUGCUAUAAUAUUAGCUAUUACUACAUUGAAACAUUAAGAGCAGAAAUAUACAAUUAGGAAAAAUAAAAUUUAAGGUUUUAACUACUAAAUUCAGUGAACAACUAUAUAAUCAACUAUUUCGUUUUUUACUUUUUUUUUGCAAUAUGCUAUAUUAUUUCAAUAGAUAUCAUGUUCUGCAUUAGCAUUGGUACUUUUCCACCCAUGAGUAAAGAAAUCAGGUGACGCCUACUUUAAAAUUACCCUAAAAAAUAUGAGUUAAACACCUUUUCAACUUAGAAGUUUUUAUUUAGGAAAAGAAUGGAACCUCUGUUGUGCCUCUUUGAUUAUGAAUUGGUGCAAGUUAAAUAUCUUUUUUAAAAAAACUUCCAAGAUACUAUUAAGGACCUCUAUAGAAUCAGUUUGGAAUCCAAAGGAACACUCACAUUAACAAUUAUUUCUACCAAUAGCUUCAUAACUACUGACAUAUCAAUUAUGUCAAUUGACAUUAUAUCAAUAUUAUAGUAGAAUUUUAGUGAAAGGAUCUUUGAGGUCACAUAAUCCAACUCUCAUCUUACAGAUAAGGAAAGUAAAAACCAGAAAAUUUGUAUUACUCAUAGCAGUAAGCUUGGAGUGGGCAGAGGCAGAUGAGGGAUCCUAACACUCUCUUUCAUCCUAAUGCAUACCAGAGGGUAUUAGGUUAUAAGUACAGUAGGUAGCUAACAGAUGAACAAAUCUAAGAAAGAUAUCUGAUUUGUAUCCUAAGUAUACACAUUCCCCUUAAGAUUCUUGUUGGAUGAUCCAUUCCACCUCAAUCUGUUAGCACAGAUACAAAAUUAUACAAAUUGAUGCUUGUGUGCAAUAAAACCCAGGAGAGUAGUUGGAGUUAGUUUGGCAGAACUACAUUGUUGCAUAACUCCUGGGAUGAAGAUUGAUGUAUAUCCAUAUGUAUACAUACCUGUAGCUUCUUAAUGCUGCUUCAGGAAAUGCCAUUUACAUACAUUACAAUGUAAAUAGUGCCCAAUGGAGUUGUGCAUCAUAGGGACACUGCAAAUAUAAGUUUUUAUUUUAAAUUAAUUAGGGUAGGCUAAUUGCCAUACAGAUCAACCCCAAAAUGUAUAAUGGCUCAAAUCAUAUUUGCUAUAAUCAAGUUUCUUGCUAAAAUAAACAAAUAGUUCAGUACUUAGUUUCCAAGGUGUUCUAGUACCUAAGCUUUCAAUACCAAACUUCAGUACCAAACUUCUCCUGUGGGGUCUUGUCUAUUCCAGCCCAUUAGAAGGGGAGUUUUUUUAGGAGACUCAAAAGUAGUGCAAUAACUGCCAUUCUUAUUCCAUUGGCUCUAACUCGGUCACAUGCCCACACCUGCCUGCAAGGGAGACUGGGAAUAAGUUUAUCUGUGUGGCCAAAAAGAAAUGAGAACAUGGAUUUGGAUGUUUAACUAAGAGUCAUUGCUCACUUGGGUGCUCUCUCUCUCUCUCUCUCUCUCUCUCUCUCUCUCCACACACACAUACCCACACAAACCCUGAAGUGGACACCAAAAGAUAAACUCACAUUAUUAGGCUUCAAAUAGAACAAAUAAAGGGGCUUUUAUUUAAGAAUUGCAUUCACCUCUACCCUUUCCCUCCUUCAGGUUGGGACUGUUAAUUAAUGCAUAACAAUAACCAAUAGAUAACUGACAUCUGAAAAGGAGGAUAAAAAGCAAAUUUUUUAGAAUAAUACCUAUCGACUGACAUGUCAUCUAUGGACCCCCGGGCCCACAGUCGCACCGUUCCUCCACGUCCGCGGCUGAGCAAAGGAGCUGCACGCACGCGCAAGAAAGGAGGUCGGAGGAGUGAGACUGAGGAAACGAAGUGAGAGCGGCGAACAGCGACGAUUCUGCGCAUGUUCAAGGCGCGGAGGUUUUGACCUUUAGGAGAGAGCCAAUUCUGGAGAACAACCUAACUUCUUUGAUUGAACACUCACAUAAUGCAUUGGAACAUGAUAGGAGAUUAAGGUAUACUAAUGAAUUUUAAAAGCAUACUAUUUUAUAUCUUUGCAAUAUAAUUGAACUAGACAGUAAAACUAGAACUUUUAAGUGAGCUAAAAUCAAUAAAGAUUUAUUAUUAAUAGAAAUCUGUGAAGUGGCCAAGGUGGACUUCUCUUGCUUAUUAAAACUGCAGAUUUUUAGAUAUAAUUGAUAUUCUCAUCAUGUUUUAUUAGGUCCAGUUCCAACUGAAUUUAUUCUAAAAAUAAGUACAUAUAGUGAUUUUUCUUAAGGUAAUUACACUGUUAUAUAUAUAGAAGAAUUAAAUAGUGGACUUUUCAUCUUAAAAUGGAAGAUUUAAAAUAGAAUUUGGUGCUUGGCUCUUUGAGAGGUAUAGUGAUAGGUAGAGCCUAUAAGAUAAGAUUAAUGAGACUAUUUUAAGAGAAUUUAGAGUAUUCCAAAUACCAUCCUAACCAAAAGUGGCAUUUUGGUUGAAACUGAAAAACCCACUUUCUAAAGCAGAAACUAGUAUCUUACUCAUAGGUACUCUGAGUACAAUAUUUAAAUUAUUCAUAUCAAAAAUUGCAAACUCUAAAAAUGUAGAAUGCCAAAACUUCCAGUAACUUAUUUUUACCUCCAAAAUACUUUAUCAUAAGAGCCACUUUUCUAGUAUAUUUAUUUUCUUUGAUUUUUAUAGUUUUAGUUGAAAGUUUCAGAUACUCACCUAAUAAAAAUUUUGAUUGCUAAAUAGCGAUCUGGUAUAAUGUAAAUGAAUUUAUUGAACAAUAUUACUAAGUAUUGAUUAAUUUUUCCAUGGUAAAAAUAUUAGUCACAUGAUAAAGUAUUAACCAUAAUGUUUUUUUUUAAAAAAACUAUUUGCUAAAGUGAGGUCUACUAAAAUAAAGCAUACUACAAUUUUUUCUUUAAAUUUUUUUUCACUUAAAAAUAUUUACUUUAUAUACUUAAGAUACGGGAGAUAAAGAUUUGUUUUCUUAAGAAAAAUGUAAUUUAGUCUUAAGAGUGAAGUGUAAUUGUGGUCAUAGAACUGCUUAUAUCUUUAAACAACGUUCAGUUUUUUUCAAACAAAUUCUCCAAUGUGUGUUUGAACAUUGAGAUAUAUAUCAAAAUAUUAAACUAAUAUUUGAUAUUUAUUAUUAGAUAUUAGAUAAUCCAAGAAUGUGAAUUCAUUAACAGUUAAUGUUAAAUAAAAUAUUAAAAUUUAAUAGAAAUUCAGUUUAAUGUAAGGGUGAAGUUUCAAGUAUUGGUGUCAUACUGUAAAGUGUCACUAUACUGUUUGAGAUAAAUAUAAGUUAUAGAACGUCUUCAUAACUUAGAUUUGAGAAUGUUAUGAAAAAGCAGCUUAGUUUGAAUAGGAUGAAAAUGAAUACAACUUUCCCCCUCUAAUUUAACCAUUGAUUUUCAGAUUAGACAACGUUAAGAUGAAAAGUGAAAAAUAUGGUUUCUGAGUGUCUGGGGAAAAAAAAAAACUAGAUUCAAUUUAUCACUUUCAAUCCAGAUAUCUUUUACACACCAGCCUACUGUUAAAUGGAGGAAGAGAAAUAGCUUUUGAGUUCAUAUUUUAAAUAAAGACAUAAAUCCACAGAGUUGUUUCUAAUUUAGAGUGUUUAUGAUUUUUGAUCUUUGAAGUUGUCAAAACUUACUGCUUGAACACAAGUAUUUAGCAUCAUAAAAUCAUGCCUCUAUAGCUGUACACUGGCUUAUAAACUUCCAGAUUUUUAGCUUCCUAAAUAAUUUAACAUCUAAGAGACCUGAUGCAGAUAUUAAUAGUUUUCUUGUAUUUGGUCAGCUUUUACAGGGUAAGAAACUUAAACCUAAUUAGUAGUAUGUGUUAUUUUAGAAGACAGGUUAAUAAAGGCUUUUACUGCUAUGUGUGACUGGCUAGCCUUUAACUACCCCUCAAAGGACAUUUUCUACUUAAAUUUGCAAACCUGAUUAUAUCUAACUAAGCCUUGAUAAGUAGUUUACUAUGUCAAGAUUUGGAGGAAAGGAUUUACUGUGUUAUUUUUUUUUUCAAUGAUAGACUUCUUAUUUGUGCAAUAUUUAUAUUUUUGGUUAAAUGGACUUUCCGGGUUAAAUAACAUUCAUUUUCAGGAAAAAUUCUUGAUUGUUCCUAAAAUACAGUUAUACUGUCAGUAUUCCUGUUUUGUUGAAAUAGAUUUUCUUAGGGGGAAAGAAUAUUUUGGAUAAACUAGAAUAGAAGUAAUUUAACAUGCCUACAUGUGAAGGGACUUGAAAUUAUUCAUUAUUUGUCAUUGAUGUAUAAUUCUAGUUUAUAAGGACAACAUAUUUUAAGCAAUUUCUUAGCUGUAACAGCUUCCUUUAUUGAAAUUUUGUAAUGUUGCUGAGGAUUCAUUAAAGAAUAGACAAUUAACUUUCUUAAAUUUUUUUUAAAUGUUCGAAGCAAUUUUGUGUGUAUUUUGUGUUGUUUCUUGGCCAACAAAUAAAAUAUAUACUUAAUCUGUUUUUUUCUUUUCAGAAUUUUAUUUUCUAAGCAUCUUCAAAAGGCAUUAAUUAAUGAGAUGAUUUAAAUUUUUCAGUAAAUAUUUUGAAGUAGAAAUUCAGUCCUUAGCACCACAAACCACACUUGAUAUUUCAUUAACAUAUAUGAUUUGACUUAGUUUUACUUUCUUGUUUCAUGAUUAGAGUCACUUGGAAGAGAAACUUGUAGCAUAUUUCAAAUAUAGUUCCUAAGACUGAUUAAUCCACUGGUUAAUAGUUUAUUAAUUUAUUACUGUUUUGUUAAUGUCUUAAUUUUUAAAAAUCCUUUUUUGAUAUUUGCUGUCAGUGUUUUUUCAUUCUGUGGCUUUCAUAAUCAAAGUAGUAAUUUUGUUAUCCUGUGAUCCUCAGAAUUAUUUCUUUUAUUGGCAUUAUUUGUUUUUGGACUGCUGCUAAGGAGAACAAUUGUUUUUGCAGUUUUGAUAAAAAUAAAAGAUUGGUUUUUUCCCCUUUUUUUCCAAAAUAUUUUGAUCUGAAUUUUUGAUAUUACUGUAUUUUAUACUUUUAUUUUAAUAAAUCCUAAAUCUAGCCUUCUUGACUAGAUCUUAUGUAGACUUAUAAGCCAAUUCUAGCAUUUUAAAAAAUAAUUUAUAGAUGUCCUAAUUUUUCUGACUUUUUAAAUAUUUUUCAGAAUCAAAAAUUGCUUAAGGUAUUAAAAGAUAAGGAUUGCAUUUAAAAUUGAAGUUAUAAGUCCAUAAAUAGCAUUCCAUUUAAAUUUAAUUUGGCAGAAUAAAUAUUUCUAUGUUACUCAUCAUUGAUCUUACGUACUUACUAAGUUUUUAGCUUUGUAGUACACAUUUAAAGUAGAUAAAUUACAUGUGGGAAUUUUUUUAAUAGUUGGAGUUUUUGUUAAAAAAUUUUUAUGGGCUAAAUCUUAUUUCUUUGUUAAUAGGGUCUGAUGUCAAACAUAUGGUGAUGAUUAGAUACGUGGAACUUGGGAGCCUGGAACAUUUUAUAAGCAAAAUAUAAUUUCAUUUCUUGGUUAAAGUUUAGGUACUUAUUUUCCAGUAGAAUGGAUAGGAAAGAUUAUAUGAAUUUAUGAAUUCAUGCCAAACCUGGUGAAAACUCUUCUGAGAAGAGUUUUAAUUUAAAUCUAAAUCUAAAUUAGGAGCUGAAGAUCAUUACAUGUGUCAUUAAUUUUUUUCCUUAGAUACAUUAUAGAUUCCCUUUCUGAUCAAAACGCUAAUUUUGUCUUUUCUUCUCUUCCCAUCCUACUUUAACGAAAAAAUUUCUCCUUAGAAAAUUUUAUCAUAUAGUGAUGAAAGCCGACCUGCUAGGUAGGUUGGACUAGAACCAUUUUGUCUUCUGUGUCAGUUGCAUAUGCUUUUCUUAGCUUGCUGCUUUAGCAGCAGUAGCAACAACAAUGAAUAAACAAGUAUCACCACAGCCCUUGUUCUUGUCCCUUACAGCUGGGUGCAGGGGCUGGGAGAUUGCUACUGCUUGUCAGCUGUUAUACAGAAUAGCAUCAAUAUGCAAUAAUGGUGGCCAAAGGAGCCUGCACCCACCAGCUUUUACAGACCAGGUUUAAUAAUGAUAAAAUGAAGACCAUAAUAAAACAGUCCCCCUACUUAGCCCAGCAAUUCUUACCUUUCUUACCUACUUGAUGAAGAGUUCUUUUGAAAGGUGUACUGCAAGGAAUGCAAUGCUGUCUGUAAAUUAACACUUUUACCAAGCUCCCGUCAUGGUCCCAGGGUCCUGGGAUCGAGCCCCGCAUCGGGCUCCCUGCUCCGCGGGAAGCCUGCUUCUCCCUCUCUCACUCCCCCUGCUUGUGUUCCCUCUCUUGCUGUGUCUGUCAAAUAAAUAAAAUCUUUUAAAAAAAAAAAGAGCUUAUAUAGAAUCAAACUUAUUUUAUUGCAUAUUUAUAUCCAAUGUAAAUACUGAAAUUUUUACUUAAAUAUUCAUUUUCCCUUUGUUUCUCUAAUGAAAUGAAAUUGAAGAUAUUUGCUUAUCUUACAGAUAAGUGUACAUUUAUAAAAUAUACAUUCUGAACAGAACUUAGAAGACAGUUUUUAGUAGUGUUUCUAAAUAUUUCCUUAUAAAGGAAGGGGGAACUAUCAAAACAUGUAAAUUAAAUUCCUGAAAUCCCAGGACCCUGAGGUCAAGACCUGAGCCAAAGGCAGCCAGCCACUUAACCGACUGAGCCACCCAAGCGCCCCAGGAAAAUGUUUUCUUUAUUUUCUUUUUAUUUUGUUAUUUUAUUAAGUCAUUAAACUAAAAAUUAAUGUUCAGGAUAAGACAGGCGUGUUUAGGGGCGCCUGGGUGGCUCAGUCGUUGGGCGUCUGCCUUUGGCUCAGGUCUAGAUCCCAGCGUCCUGGGAUCGAGCCCCGCCCCGCAUCGGGCUCCCUGCUCCGCGGGGAAGCCUGCUUCUACCUCUCUCACUCCCCCUGCUUGUGUUCCCUCUCUCACUGCGUCUCUCUGUCAAAUAAAUAAAAUCUUAAAAAAAAAAAAAAAAAAGACAGGCGUGUUUAUGUAGUGUACCACACUUCUGGUCUUUUCUACAAGGACUAUCUUAACCUUUUCAACUGUAACCAAGCAGAAAAUCUACAAAAUAAAUGCAGUUCUUAAUGAAUCAUUUCCAAUUAUUAUUGUCUCUUUUAGAAACUCUAAAAGUAUUUCAGAUGUAAAUUAAAGAAUUGUAUUUGAGGAUCUUCUGUUUAAAUUCUAAUCUGAAGGUAAAGAAAAUAUAUAAGAUAAAGCUUUCAUUUUUAAGAACAGUUUUUCCCCCAAAUAAGGAAGCAGCAUACCAUAUAUAUGGUAUUAGUAUUAAAUGCCAGCAUUUACAUGGAAAUAAGUAUUGCCUUGGUGCUUUGAAAAAUCAUUCAUCAAGCUCUUAACCUGUUUUCCUUUAUUUCAACUCUUUUGUGAAAGACUGUAACAAAUAAAUGAUGAUUUUUAAUUCCACUAAAAGUAUUCCAGGAUUUAACAUCUAAAUGCUUAGAAAUAUUUAUUGAAUAAAUUACAGAGUUUGUGCAGUAUUUUCCAGAACAACUCAGGAAUUAGAUUUCCUUUUUCUGUUUUUUGUUUUCCUAAGUAUAUUUUGACUUAAUUUUAGAAAAUUAUAUUUAGUCUAAUCUGCUUUCUAAAUGACAGAGAGAAAACCUGGAUUUUACAUUUACUAGGUGAAUCUUUAUAUCUGGAUGCUCCAGAUGUGAAGAAGGAAUAUUUGGGGCUAUUACAGCUAAAGGAAAACUUUCUUCUUUUAAUCCUGAGAAUGGAUUAAAGAAAAAUUGAAAUAUUGGCGAAGUGAGAAACUAUAGAAAACCUGUUAUAUUGAAAUUUAUCGUAACAGCAUACAGCUUCUUUCCAGUCUCUUACUAAAGAAGAGGAAAUGGCCUAUCAGUACCUAAUGAAACACACAUUUUAGGUAAUUCAGUGGAACUGGGAAGUUUUAUUUGUAUGAGUUAAUACACUUCCAUCUUUGUGUAAUUUUGAACACAUAAAGCGCAAAUAGUUAAAUAAAAGUUAUACCCUUUAUAACCUAAAUUUGGCUAUUUUACAAAGAAAAAUAAGUAUGGGUGUGUAUUAAAUUUUCAUUUUUCCAUCUUCUUUGGAAAAUAUCCUCAUUUUUUUCAUUCAGUCUCUUUUUAAGUUGAUGCCAAAUAAUUUCAAUAUUGAGCAUCUUAAAUCUUUUACUUGGAAUAUGGAUUGAGUUUGGAGCUAAUUCAGAGGACUCAGGCAAGUAUCCAGGAGGCAGCAAGAGGAAUAUUUUAAUAGUUGAAUAACUCAGUUUAUAUCCUAUAUUUAAAUGGAGAUCUCCUAAGAUCACACAUACAGAUAUGUGAUGGUAGAUACGAAAAUUUGGCCUUAGACUAAAUUCUAUACUCAACCCUAAAGGUUUUCUUCAAUCAAUUAUAUAUCCUUUUGGUUGUUACAGAAUUACAUGUUGUUUGUAAGCCACUAAGUAUCAUUAUGGAUACAUGCCCAGGUUAGCCAUAAUUGGAUAAGCAAGAUUAUACUUUCAUAAACUGUGAUCUCUAAGUUAA